rnacentral:rRNA from 1 species
UGGGGAAUUUUGGACAAUGGGGGAAACCCUGAUCCAGCCAUCCCGCGUGUGCGAUGAAGGCCUUCGGGUUGUAAAGCACUUUUGGCAGGAAAGAAACGUCGCGGGUUAAUACCCCGCGAAACUGACGGUACCUGCAGAAUAAGCACCGGCUAACUACGUGCCAGCAGCCGCGGUAAUACGUAGGGUGCAAGCGUUAAUCGGAAUUACUGGGCGUAAAGCGUGCGCAGGCGGUUCGGAAAGAAAGAUGUGAAAUCCCAGAGCUUAACUUUGGAACUGCAUUUUUAACUACCGGGCUAGAGUGUGUCAGAGGGAGGUGGAAUUCCGCGUGUAGCAGUGAAAUGCGUAGAUAUGCGGAGGAACACCGAUGGCGAAGGCAGCCUCCUGGGAUAACACUGACGCUCAUGCACGAAAGCGUGGGGAGCAAACAGGAUUAGAUACCCUGGUAGUCCACGCCCUAAACGAUGUCAACUAGCUGUUGGGGGCCUUCGGGCCUUGGUAGCGCAGCUAACGCGUGAAGUUGACCGCCUGGGGAGUACGGUCGCAAGAUUAAAAACUCAAAGGAAUUGACGGGGGUCAUAGCUGUUUUCCU